rnacentral:rRNA from 1 species
GACAGAGGGUGCAAACGUUGCUCGGAAUCACUGGGCGUAAAGGGCGUGUAGGCGGGUAGAUAAGUCGGGCGUGAAAUCCCUAGGCUCAACCUAGGAACUGCACUCGAAACUGUUUAUCUUGAGUGCCGGAGAGGAAAGCGGAAUUCCUGGUGUAGAGGUGAAAUUCGUAGAUAUCAGGAGGAACACCAGUGGCGGAAGGCGGCUUUCUGGACGGUAACUGACGCAUGAGACGGCGAAAAGCG